rnacentral:rRNA from 1 species
CAGCAGCCGCGGUAAUACGUAGGGUGCAAGCGUUAAUCGGAAUUACUGGGCGUAAAGCGUGCGCAGGCGGUUCUAUAAGACAGAUGUGAAAUCCCCGGGCUCAACCUGGGAACUGCAUUUGUGACUGUAGAGCUGGAGUGCGGCAGAGGGGGAUGGAAUUCCGCGUGUAGCAGUGAAAUGCGUAGAUAUGCGGAGGAACACCGAUGGCGAAGGCAAUCCCCUGGGCCUGCGCUGACGCUCAUGCACGAAAGCGUGGGGAGCAAACAGGAUUAGAUACCCGCGUAGUCCCUGUCUCUUAUAC